rnacentral:lncRNA from 1 species
GCUACAUUGAAGAGGUUUUGCAACAAAAUUUGGUGUAUUUUGGUGAUUUGGGGCAUUCAUUAGAGAUGCCCUAAAGAGCUUAAUAUUGAUUAAGGGAGUGAAUUUUUACUCAUAGUUGUGUAAUUAUUGCUUUUAUAGAUCUAAAUCCCAAAUUUAAAAUAGAACUAUGCAAAAGGAAGAGAAAAAAUGACUAAAAAUGUACAAAAUUAUGAUGUUGGGGACUAGAGUGGAUAAGAGCUAAAAGUUGAAGGACCUUUUGUGUAAAUUAUACAUGUAUGAUUGAAAUAAAAUUUAAAUUUGCUUAACAAAAUAUACAAAAUCAAAGUUAAGAGAUUGAACAUUCAAUUUUGGGGGACUUAGGUCGAAAAAAUGGGUACAAGACCGAGCCCCGCUCGUAGGUUCGGCUCUCGCACUUGGGUUGAAUGACCAAGUGCAAUAUCGUGCAUGUGCUUUGCUGAAGCUGCACGUAUACGCUGUUUCUCGACUGGGCAGAAAUGCCCAGCCCUUUUUUCCAUUUCUAUUUUUGGAGGGGCUUUUUUUGCAAUUUUUAGAUGUAAGUUUUAGGGCAUUUAAAUGCCAAAAGUUCAACCAUUAACCCAUUCUUGAUUGAACCCAUUAUCCACCAUUUUUAUUCCCUAUUUUUUAGAGAAGAACUAGGGCAUAAGCGAAAGAGGAGGAGAAAAAUAGAGGUGGACAGAUUUUGGGAUAAAGUUAAUACCAAGCCAAUAAUCAUUUCAAAAAUCCAAUCAAGGGAAGGAUUUUAAAAUUUUAUGUUAUAUUUUACCCAAUAUUUUAUGUAAGAACAUGUAAUCUGUUUCUCCAAAUCUUCUUCUUUUUUUAUAUAUAUAAAAUGAGCUAAGUUCUUGAUGUUUGGAUGGUUGAUGUAGCUUAAUCUAGUUUUAUUGAUUUCAACACUUGCUUUUUAAUAUCUAAGUGUUUAUUUUCAUGUAUAUAUAUUAUUGUAUUGAAUGUCUUUCAUUUAUUUGGCCAUUAAAUUAUUGUAGCUAUCAUUUUUUUAAGGUAAUUUUUGAAGUCCUAUUUGACCAUGGUUCUCAACAAGUUUGGCAGUAAAUUAUUACACAAGAAGAUCACAAACCCAAUUCUAUCGUGAGCAUCCUUCAACAAACAUUCAAUAGGGAAGUUUCGUUAACCCCCUAUUCUCUCUUGUUAUGUUCUCUUACACAUUGAGGACAAUAUGUAAUUCGAGUUUGGGGGUGAUGAUUUUCUUUGUGGUAACUGUACUUGACAUGUUAGAUAGCAUUGUCGACUAAAGAUGGUUUCAUGUUUGAAAUUAUUAUUGAUUCAUAAGUUUGGGGGUGAUGAUUUUCUUUUUUGUAACUGUACUUGACAUGUUAGAUAGUAUUGUCAACUAAAGAUGGUUUAAAGUUUGAAAUUGUUAUUGAUUUAUAACUUAUAAACAAAUUUGUUAUUUGUGCCUAAUUUUUUUUUGGGGGGGGGGGGGGGGGAAAUCAUAUCCAUGUAAGAUCUAAAUUAUUUUGAACACAGUAGUCAUGACCAAUUGUUGUUUAGGUCUGAAAAUUAUUGAUUGAUGGAGAGAUUUGUGAAUUUAUAGGAACAAGUUGUGAGUUAUGUGUAAAUUUUUAUCUACAUAUAUUAUCUACUUAACCCCAUUGUGAGAUAUGUUUGCGGGUGGCCGAGUCGGUAAAGGAGAUUAUCCAGAAUUGUGUUGAUUUCAUGGUUGUUGAUUAUAUUUGUGUGGAGUGUCUUUGACUAACAAGUAUAAACUAGGUAAUGAAAACAUACUAAGGAUCUAAGUCCAUUGCAUUAACAUCCUAUGCCUCACUUUGUAGCCUUUUUGACCCCUAGUUAGUAAGUCCGUAGAGGUAUCUCAAAACCCAAUAUCCUUUAGUCUUUAAAAAUCUAGAAAUCAUCAUUGGGGGCUUAGAUAAUUAGUGGAUUUGACUUAGUAUAAGCUUAAUUAUCGAAACCCUAAACUUUGAGGAGAAUCAUCACAUACCUAGAUUUUUGACAUUGUCUAUUAGCAGCAAUAUUAUAGUGGUAAAAGAAAUAAGUGAUUUGAGAGCAAACUAUAAUUGAACAUCUCGAUAAAGAAAAUAUUUAUAUUUGUGUGGGGAUGUGAAUUUCACGAGCGGGAACCAAUUUGAAAAUUUUUUUGUCUUCACAAUUUUUUUUGAAGUUUAGGUAAUGAUUGAAAGUAGCUAUAACCCACACAAGGUUCAAGCAUUGGAUAAAAUCAAUUUGUUUUUGAUAGCGUUAUUUGGAGGCAUAUUUUUUUUUCUCCACAUUAAUAAAUUCUUCAUUCCUCGACUAAUUGUUCUUAUCACUGGCACGGACCUACGGUGGAUUCGGGUGGGUCACUUGAACCUCCAACUUUUAGGUUUUUUAUUUAUUUAUUUUUUUAUUGAAUCACAAAUUCAGAUUUAACAUUUAGGGAUUUAGAGGCAGACAGAGACACCCCUGUUGCAAAACUUUUGUGAAAUCAGUUUGAAGAAACCUUGGAAAACCCUGCUGCACAAGUUAACACCCUCCUGCCCGAAGAAGAUAACAUUUACUUGAACACAAAAGUGUUCAUCGUCUUCCAGAAUUUACUUGAAGAGAAUGUUCUAGAAUUGCUUUUAUAUUUACCGCCAUUCAUAGAUGACUGUAAAGAAAAUAAAUUUGCACAAAAGCAUCCAAGUCUAGAAGAAGAAAGAAGAAUCCAAUUUCAUAAAAAAUUACCGCCAUAAUGAAAUUAUCCAGAACUUUACUGCCACAUGAGAGCCUUGUAGAAGUGCAGCCCACCGUCAUUGUUAUCCAUAAAUAUAGUUGAUGUAUGUAUUGUAUGUGUAUGGAAGAAAGAGUGUGUGAAAGGGAAGCAAGGAGAAGGUGUGUGAGAG